UUACAUUGUCAUAUAUAACCUCAGACAUAAGUUAAUUAUAAAUCUCAGUUGGAAGUGGAGAGAGCUGUGAGCUUUCCCCCUGGAGACCGGGGUUCAAGUCCGAUGUCUUCUGUUGGAAUACUCUUAUCUCUAUUUCAUGCGAAUUAUAAAGUCAAGUAUAACCUUUGUGAUGACUUUAUCCGGUGUCUUGAUGGUGCAAUGAUAAGUUCGGAGGUUAACACUCUAAACAGCUCAGGUUCGGAUCCCCGCAAAAACGUUGACAGGGGUACCACUAUCGUUAUGUAUUGGUCAACAUGGAAAAAACAUGAGGGGUUACACUGUCGAUAUUUAUCAAAAAAAACAUAAGGGGUAACAAUGUCGUUUUUAUCAAAUGAAACAUAAGGGGUAACACUGUUGUUUUUUUAUUGAUCGUUAUGAAAAAAAACAUAAGGGGUAACACUGUUGUUUUUUAUUGGUCGUGAUGAAAAAAAACAUAAGGGGUAACACUGUUGUCUUUGUCAAAUAAAAUAUAAGGGGUAACACUGUCGUAUUUUAUUGGUCGUAAUGAAAAAAAACAUAUUAAAAAAAAGAAGAAAAUUGUCCUUCUCAAAUAAAAUAUAAGGGGUAUCACUGUUGUUUUUCAUCAGUCAUCAUGGGAAAAAAACAUAAGGGGUAAAACUGUCGAUAUUUAUCAAAUAAAACAUUGGUGGUAACACUGUUGUUUUUCUUUGGUCGUCAAGAAAAAAAACAUAAGGGGUAACACUGUUGUUUUUCUUUGGUCGUCAAGAAAAAAAACAUGAGGGGUAACACUGUUGUUUUUUAUUGGUCGUCAUGAAAAAAAACAGAAGGGUUAACACUGUUGUAUUUUAUUGGUCGUUAUGAAAAAAAAACACAAGGGGUAACACUGUCGUUUUUUAUUGGUCGUCAUGAAAAAAAACAUAAGGGGUAACACUGUUGUUUUUUAUUGGUCGUCAUGAAAAAAAACAUAAGGGGUAACACUGUUGUUUUUUAUUGA